ACAAAAUCACAGAAGUGGAAGCACACAUGCUUGCAGAACAUCUUAGGCCUUGGGAUGAUGGUUUGAACUGGCUUUUUGAGCGAGGACCAGACUAUAGUUAUUUGCACUCUGAAGAAUGUCUAGCUUUUAACCUACUGAGUGAACCAUGGAGAAUUCUCUGAAGGGAGGGAUUACUGGUCUUACAGCACUCUUUGAGGACAAAAGCAGGGCAAAUAUGCUGUUUGGACAGUUGUCCUUGUUAGUUCUUUUUUCAAAGGAGGUUUUGAGCUAUCAACCCACACAAUUUUUUUUGGCGUAUUCAUGGAACAUUGUGUACUGAAAUUUUGUCUACAGUGAAUCUAUUCUUUUGGUGGGAAGGUUCUCCAUCUGUCAAGCCUUUCCUUCCAAGUCAGGAUGGUGGAUGCUAGGAUCUCUAAAUUGCAUCUGUACAAUUCAUGCAAGAUUGUGACUACUGUGCCCACACAAAUUUUCUCUACCAACACUGGAGCACCACUUGUGCACAAAGAACAGUCAUGUCCUAAAGGCAAUGGCCUUGUGUUGAGCACAAACAGAAAGAGUCUGGACUACACUUGGAUCAAAAAAUCAAACCAAGGAAAGAAGGAGAAGAAGACUGUUGAAUCCCUGAAGCACUGACAUUUACAGGUUACAAGUAGGUGGGAAAGGUCUCAUAUGGGUGUCACUUAAACUGAAACCAAUUAAGAAACAUCUGUAGACAAUAGAACAGUGUCAAAUGUGAACAAUGAAAUUUCUUCUAAGAGAAGAGACAGAGAGUAGAGUACACUCUCAGCAAGACUGAAAAAGCUCUGUCCAAACAAAAGCCAUGUUUAUGUCCUCACUGGAGCUCCAGUGUGUUGCAACCUGUCUCUCAAGAGCACUGUAGACCAAGACAUAGUUGACCCAGACAUUACAAUCAGCAAUACUAAUUAAAUUUCAAACACCAUCAUCA